rnacentral:rRNA from 1 species
GAGAAAGGGGCUAAACACCCCGACCUCCAACCCUCUGUUGUUAUAACUAUACCGUUGCUUUGGCGGGACCGCGAAGGUCCUCACGGGCUCCAAGCCGCCGCGUCCCCUCACGGGUUCGAGGCGAGUUCCCGCCAGAGUUAAACCAAACUCUUGUUUUUAAACCGGUCGUCUGAGUAAAAAUUUUUGAAUUAAAUCAAAACUUUCAACAACGGAUCUCUUGGUUCUCGCAUCGAUGAAGAACGCAGCGAAAUGCGAUAAGUAAUGUGAAUUGCAGAAUUCAGUGAAUCAUCGAAUCUUUGAACGCACAUUGCGCCCCUUGGUAUUCCGAGGGGCAUGCCUGUUCGAGCGUCAUUACACCACUCAAGCAUCGCUUGGUAUUGGGCUACCGUCCCCCUCACGGGUGGGCGUGCCUCAAAGACCUCGGCGGAGCCUCACCGGCUUUGGGCGUAGUAGAAUUUCUAAUAACGUCUAUUAACGGAGAGGACUCUUCCCGACUGAAGCCUUUUAUAUUUUUCUAGGUUGACCUCGGAUCAGGUAGGGAUACCCGCUGAACUUAAGCAUAUCAAUAAGCGGAGGAAAAGAAACCAACAGGGAUUGCCCUAGUAACGGCGAGUGAAGCGGCAACAGCUCAAAUUUGAAAGCUGGCCUUCGGGUCCGCAUUGUAAUUUGUAGAGGAUGCUUUGGGGCAGCCGCCUGUCUAAGUUCCUUGGAACAGGACGUCAUAGAGGGUGAGAAUCCCGUAUGUGACAGGAAGUGGCACCCUAUGUAAAGCUCCUUCGACGAGUCGAGUUGUUUGGGAAUGCAGCUCUAAAUGGGAGGUAAAUUUCUUCUAAAGCUAAAUACCGGCGAGAGACCGAUAGCGCACAAGUAGAGUGAUCGAAAGAUGAAAAGCACUUUGGAAAGAGAGUUAAAAAGCACGUGAAAUUGUUGAAAGGGAAGCGCUUGCAAUCAGACUUGUCUGGGUCGUUCGGCCGGUCUUCUGACCGGUUUACUCGGCCCGUGACAGGCCAGCAUCAGUUUCGGCGGUCGGAUAAAGGCCCUGGGAAUGUGGCUCUGCCUUCGGGGAGAGUGUUAUAGCCCAGGGUGUAAUACGGCCAGCCGGGACUGAGGUCCGCGC